rnacentral:rRNA from 1 species
UAGGGAAUCUUCCACAAUGGGCGAAAGCCUGAUGGAGCAACGCCGCGUGAGUGAUGAAGGUUUUCGGAUCGUAAAACUCUGUUGUUAGGGAAGAACACCCGAGAGAGGAUCUCGGACUGACGGUACCUAACGAGAAAGCCCCGGCUAACUACGUGCCAGCAGCCGCGGUAAUACGUAGGGGGCAAGCGUUGUCCGGAUUUACUGGGUGUAAAGGGUGCUCAGGCGGAUUUGUAAGUCAGAGGUGAAAUCUUACAGCUUAACUGUGAAACUGCCUUUGAUACUGCAAGCCUAGAGUAUGGAAGAGAGUGAUGGAAUAUCUGGUGUUGCAGUGAAAUGCGUAGAUAUCAGAUAGAACACCAAUGGCGAAGGCAGUCACUUGGUCCAUUACUGACGCUAAAGCACGAAAGCGUGGGUAGCAAACA